UCCACACAGUGCCCAGCCCAAAGUUGGUGCUUGAGGUUCACUGACUCAGCACUGGUCAUGUUGGCUUCAGCAAGGAUGCUGGUUUGUGCAGCAAUCUUCUCAUUUGAUUUUCCACAGGUAUCAUUAGUGAUACUUCUCCAGGCUCUUGAGAUGCUGAUGAUUUUUGUGCAAGUUUGAUGCUUCGAGUCAUGUAAUAUUUUGACUACUAUUCCCACUACUCUUCUGCUAGCAAGAGCAUCACUACUAAGAGGUUCUUUCAACUCCCACUGAAAUUAGUAGAAG